UACGUAGGGGGCAAGCGUUGUCCGGAUUUAUUGGGCGUAAAGAGCGUGUAGGCGGUCAGGUAGGUCCGUUGUGAAAACUCGAGGCUCAACCUCGAGACGCCGAUGGAAACCAUCUGACUAGAGUCCGGAAGAGGAGAGUGGAAUUCCUGGUGUAGCGGUGAAAUGCGCAGAUAUCAGGAAGAACACCCGUGGCUAAAGGCGGCUCUCUAGUACGGUACUGACGCUGAGACGCGAAAGCGUGGGGAGCGAACAGG
rnacentral:rRNA from 1 species